rnacentral:lncRNA from 1 species
GGGGAUAGGGGGGGGUUCCCGAUGGUGGAGUGUUGGCUCCUGGCUCUUCGCCUCCAGCCUCCUCCGCUCCGCCGUUUCCUCCUCGGAUUCGAGCGCGUCGAAGACGGCGGCUCCCACCAGCAGCCAGCUCUGCUCAGUGCCGGCGGAUGGCUCCGUUCCCUGAUGUGAUGGCUGCUGACACCGAGCUGUUCCUGACCUGUGAGCUGCUCUGCCUCUGCAGCAGCAGGGUGGCUGCAGUCCCUGAGGACGAGACACGGGUCUAGGGGGUGGGCAACCUCCUUCCCUCUUCGACAAACCCACCAGGGCAGCCAACAUGUGGUGUGGGGUGCAAGGACCCUCCCCAAUGCCCUCCCGUGCCCCAGAACAAACCCUGCCCAGCAGGAGCCGCGUGAUCCCUUAAAAACCCAAUGAAAACACCAAAACGGUUGUUCGUGCCAUCUGGAGCAAAAGAAAAUGGAAUUUUAAUUAAAAACUCAUGAGCUCGUUGCUAUAAA